rnacentral:rRNA from 1 species
AACGAACGCUGGCGGCAUGCCUAACACAUGCAAGUCGAACGAGAUCUUCGGAUCUAGUGGCGCACGGGUGCGUAACACGUGGGAAUCUGCCCUUGGGUUCGGACUAACUCUCCGAAAGGAGUGCUAAUACCGGAUGAUGUCGAAAGACCAAAGAUUUAUCGCCCAGGGAUGAGCCCGCGUAGGAUUAGCUAGUUGGUGAGGUAAAGGCUCACCAAGGCGACGAUCCUUAGCUGGUCUGAGAGGAUGAUCAGCCACACUGGGACUGAGACACGGCCCAGACUCCUACGGGAGGCAGCAGUGGGGAAUAUUGGACAAUGGGCGAAAGCAUGAUCCAGCAAUGCCGCGUGAGUGAUGAAGGCCUUAGGGUUGUAAAGCUCUUUUACCCGGGAUGAUAAUGACAGUACCGGGAGAAUAAGCCCCGGCUAACUCCGUGCCAGCAGCCGCCGUAAUAC